GUGGAUUAGAUACCCUAGUAGUCCACGCCCUAAACGAUGUCAACUAGGUGUUGGGGAAGGAGACUUCUUUAGUACCGCAGCUAACGCGUGAAGUUGACCGCCUGGGGAGUACGGUCGCAAGAUUAAAACUCAAAGGAAUUGACGGGGACCCGCACAAGCGGUGGAUUAUGUGGAUUAAUUCGAUGCAACGCGAAAAACCUUACCUACCCUUGACAUGCCAGAAAUCCUGAAGAGAUUUGGGAGUGCCCGAAAGGGAAUCUGGACACAGGUGCUGCACGGCCGUCGUCAACU
rnacentral:rRNA from 1 species